UCUUGUGGCUAGAAGGGUGAG
rnacentral:miRNA from 1 species